rnacentral:lncRNA from 1 species
GAAAAUGGGAAAAAAAUUAAGGGCCAAAGUGAAAAAAAAUACACAUGCAUCAGGAUUGAUUUUAAGGGUGCGUUUGUUUGCAAGGAUUUGAUUAUCCGGAAAACAUUUUCCUGAUUUUACGGUGUUUGGUUGCUUGAAAAUAAAUUACAUGGGUAAAAGAUUUCCAAAACAAGGUAAAUUAUAUGAGUUUUUUAGGGAAAAUGUCUUACAGAUUUUUAAUAGGUAAGACAUUUUCCGGAAAAUCUUCCUCCACUUUCACCAUCCGUUCUUCAUCCGUUUUGUAAGAUUUUCCAAAAAUCGGUAAGACUUUCUCCUUCUUCCGUUCUUCAUCUGUUCCCUUCUUCAUCCAUUCUGUAAAAGUUUUUCGAUUUAAGAAUCUUCUUCUUCUUCUUCUUCUUCUUCUUCUUUUUUGCUUUUUUAAGUUGUAAUUAUGAUUGCAGAUUGGCUCAUCCAGGAGGACUUGUUUAAGUACUCUUUUAUUCACCCCUUCUUCAUCCGUACUGUAAGAUUGGCUGUCAAUAACGCUUAAAGCUACCUUCUUUCAAAGUACACUUUUAUUCAUUUCUUUUUCUUCUCUACUUUUGAUCUGUUUAAGUUUUCUUUAAUAUGAUUUUUUUUUGGAAUUUUUGCUUAAUUUUGCAUCACAAAUCUGAUCUAGUUCAUAGAAAAAUUAUUUGUGUGCUAAAAUUUAACCAUUUUUUUUAGCUAGUUUGUCAAAUGAACUCUAAUGCUCUGUUUGUUUUUGGGUUUUGCAUUAUUAAGCUUUUUUUAUGCUUUAAAAAAAUGUUAAGUUAAUUAUUGAUAACAGUUGUUAAGAAUGCUCAAUUUUAAGUAUGAAAUUGCUGAACUGAAUAUGCUUAAAUUUUUCGAGGAGAUAGACUGCUACUGGUUGAAAUAAUGGGAAAUUAUGGAAGGUUAAAUGCCAAACCUUGGUCUCUGUCCAAAUGUUGGACUUUCAGCAUUUAAUUUCCCUGUUUAAAGAUGUUUUAAACUUGCUAAAAAUGCAACAAUUAUAUAUGUUAUUUACUUAAUUAAAUAAAUGGUAGCGAGUUCUUUACAUUUUCUUCCUUGGUUGUUUUGUUGGAUCUUUAUGCUGGUAUAAGUGAUGGAAUUUUGAUGAAAUUUCUGGCUGUCGAGGGAUUUGCUGAUUUAAUAUACUGCCUUAUGGUUGUUUAUUGUUGUUCAAAGCAUGAUGAAAUAAACGUGUUAGGUGUUGCUUAAUAUCUUAGAAAAUAUAUGGGUUUCAUUGAUAUUGUGUUCAAUGGUCUCUUGAAGACAUAUUCAACGAUAAUCUUUAUAAGGAUCAGGUGGGUUUGCUUUGUUCUUCAUCAUAAUCAUCAUCAUCACCCUUGAAUCUUUGGUUUUCUUUUCUUGUUAGACUUUAUUUAUGGGUUUUCUUUGCAGCUUUUGGAAUAUCCACUUUUAUGGAAGUUGAAAAUGAUUGCUCUUAUACUUAAAAAUAGUUGUAGCAGUGAACUGGAAUAAACUUUCUUUGUGUGUGUGUGUUACAGCCCUAGCCCAUUUCUGCAUUCUAUAUUGUGAACGUCUUGCUUUUAAUUGGUCAUUGGCAGCUAGCUAAAAGUGGCAUAUAGUUACGUAAGUAGUGAAUCGUGUAUAAGACUUGUGAAAUUUUUGCUAACAAGGGAAUUAGGAACUAAUAGCAGCUAAAACACAACAACUUUUUAUUUUCUUGCUAUCAAACUCUUUUGAAAUAUCGUCAAUCAUUUUACUCUUUCAGCAGCCUAUUAUUGCCAAAGCUAAUAUCUGCUCGUAAAAACAAAGCAGCAUUUGAUCAGCCCCCUUUUUCCCUCGUCUGUAUCGUGUUCCCCAUUUAUAUAUACCAAAUUUUGACUGCAAUUCAUGAGGCCUCCAUUGCUAGUUCUUCUUCGAGGGGUUUAUACAGAUAAAGAAAAGGACAAUAAGAAAAAAAAUUGAAGUCCAUUGAUAUAAUAGCUUCUCUUGUCGUAGUUAAUUUGAACUAUAUAUAUAUGAAUGUAAUUUGUAUAAUAUAUUGUUCCACUUUUGACCCAUUUUUUAUUGUAGGGUGGUAAUGGUUGAACCAGUUCUAGUUUUUGAUAUGUUUUAAACAAUUUAACAUUUUACUCUCCAAUCAUUGUGUUACUCUCCUAACUUUGGUUAAUUUCAAUUUAUGACGGUUAAUAUUCUAGCUUAAUAAUUG